GACGAACGCUGGCGGCGUGCUUAACACAUGCAAGUCGAACGGAAAGGCCCUGCUUUUGUGGGGUGCUCGAGUGGCGAACGGGUGAGUAACACGUGAGUAACCUGCCCUUGACUUUGGGAUAACUUCAGGAAACUGGGGCUAAUACCGGAUAGGAGCUCCUGCUGCAUGGUGGGGGUUGGAAAGUUUCGGCGGUUGGGGAUGGACUCGCGGCUUAUCAGCUUGUUGGUGGGGUAGUGGCUUACCAAGGCUUUGGCGGGUAGCCGGCCUGAGAGGGUGACCGGCCACAUGGGGACUGAGAUACGGCCCAGACUCCUACGGGAGGCAGCAGUGGGGAAUAUUGCACAAUGGGCGGAAGCCUGAUGCAGCAACGCCGCGUGCGGGAUGACGGCCUGCGGGUUGUAAACCGCUUUCGCCUGUGACGAAGCGUGAGUGACGGUAAUGGGUAAAGAAGCACCGGCUAACUACGUG
rnacentral:rRNA from 1 species